CAUACAAUGUAAGGGAGGGAAGGAUGUGUGUAUUUCCCUUGUUCCCUUUUAGGUCCUGUCACUUGCAGCUGCCAUGAUAGUUGCCCUCAGUCAUGCCACCCUGCUUUCCAACCAGCUCAGAAUGGACUGAGACCUCCAAAAAAACGUCCCCCAAGGUUGGAAAGUAUCGAGGACAUGAGAGAACCUCUGCAGAAACAUCCCAUAACUUGGUGAGUCUCUGGUCUUCUAAUGAAAGGAUAGUGAGACCACAGAUGGAGGUGAUCAGUGAUGUGGAUUGUGCCUAAGACAGGCGGGUCUGAGAAUUCGAUCUGUGCAGCAAAGUCCCUAAUCUAGUGCAGAAAAAAAAAUAUGAGAAUAUGAAUGAAAUUCUUGGAUAUUGGCUAUGUGGAUCAAGACAUAUUAACAGAUAUCAACACAUUCAUUUAACAAUUAUGAAGGAAAUUGUGUUUUUGAAUUUGAGAAAAAGACAGCAAGCAUACUCAAGUGUGAAACCCAAAUGCAUAGCAGAACUAAGCAGCACUGCACUCCUGACUGCUGGGUAGAGACCCCAGUGACCCGAGGAGCAGUGCCGGCCUCUUCCGAGUCUCAGUGGUCCUUAACCCCAAGAACCUCAGGAGCUGCAUGGGUUGGGCCAGUGGACUGAUUGUGCAAGUCAUUGUGUGAAGAGACUUUGGUGUGACUUUCCAUAUGGCUGCAGUUCACAGCUGGUGUUAGUGAGUGAAGUGACUGAGGCAGAUGGGAAUAAAGGGGAUUCAGGACAGGAUUUGGAGCUGCUUCGAUCCUGGGGUAUCUGGGGAUGCUGCUGCUGGAUGCUGAGCAAAAUGUUGAGGUCACUGGAUAAUUCCAAGGACAGAGUCUUGUCCAGUGCCUGGUGAUGAGAUUCUCGGCUUUUAUUCCUGGCUGGAGCACCUCCCCAGUGAUAUUGUCCUUCUCUCCUCCUGAUUGGGGAUUGUUCGCUUUGGUUGUUUGGGUAAUUUUAUUCCUUCCAGGUUUCUCCCAGUAAGAUUUCCAUUUGUUUUUCCUAAAGAAUAAUUGAUUUGUAGCAGGAAACUUGAGUCAGUGUAAUACCAUGGUCCUAAGUGAAUGUGUAGUUCCCAUUUUAAGACCACUGUGUUACAGUGAUCUCAGUUUGUCAAAUGUUACAGUAACUUUGGAUUUACCCUUGAAUCAGAUAACAGAGUGGCAUUCAGAGAGUAGAGGGAGCUGUUUGCUCUGCCAACAGGCUCUAAAGAGUUCAGCACCCCCAGACCUGGGUCCCAAAUAUGGGCUAGAGGAGUUGUUACAUAGAGUUUCUGGCAGGAAAGGCAGAGUUGAACAAAAGCAGGUACUCAAAGGUGACAGGUUUACAGCUUUCCACUCCUGGUUGGCCUUGGCUGGCCAGGCAAUCAUGUAACAAGGGGCUGUGAAGCUUGUGCAUUAAGGGAGGAUGGUGAGGAAACUGCUGCACUCUUGUGGUUAAAAGAUAGAUAAUGUAAGAGCAUAACUAUACCUGGUGCACAGGGCUCAGUCUGGGUUGAGUUCUUAGAGCAGGAGGUCUCAGAGUGGUCUGUUUUUCUGUCUCACUGAUAGUUACAUUAUAGGAAAAGCUUUCUUUUUCUGCCCCUAGAUGUGUUCAUUUGCAUUUGAAUACUAUUGUUCUUGGUGUCCUUUUGCUUUAAAAAAAAAAAAACAAAAGAAUGAGGUUGAUCCUUCCAAGGGUCCCUUCUGCAACAAUACUCAGGCAUGUCGGGGAUUUCUUUUACUUUCUUGCAUUCUUGUAUCAAUAUCCAGUUUUCUCCAGCACAGUAUUUUUCUUGGCUAUAAUAGUCUGUUCUCUUCACUUAACGGUAUGUCCUGGAAACACUCCAGGCAAAGGCAACUUUCUCCUUUUUUACAAAGGCAAAUUCCUCUCUGUUGAGCAUGAAUUUAAUUGAUUCCAUGAACUUUUGGUGACAUUUUAGCCUUCUUUCCAAACAGUCCACAAGUGCAAACAGUGUUUCUAUUAGUAAACUAGGGUAUGAAAUUUUAUAUUGUUGAAGAUUCCUUUUCUGUUCUUUGAAUAUAUAUUUUGGGGAAUACACAUUCUGUUUUGGUGGAUAUUGACUUUUCCCCUUAGUAUAAAUUCUCCAGUGUUGCAUUUCUGCCAACAGCACCAAGACCUGACUAUCAUAAUAAUUACUAAAAGCAGUAGGUAAAGCGUUCUAACUUUAUCAAAAAAUAAUGUUGUACUUUUUUGAUAUUUAAUUUUCUACUUCUCUUUGACAUAGGUAAAUAUGAAUACCUUUUGAUAGGUAAAGGUGCCCUUUUAAACCUAUUAAUUAUAGUUCAUAUCCUUUGCCACUUGUCUAUUCUUAUUAAUUAAAAUUGAUGUGUGUAUGUGCUUGUGGAUCAAUGUUACUUUCAUAUGUACUACAUAAUUAUAAAAUGAUAUAUGGAAUUAUAUAUUUUGAAAUUGUAUUGUAAUUGUAUAUGGUAAUUGUAUAUAAUUUCUUAAGCAAUAUAUAAUUUUCUAUUUUGGCUUGGUCUUCUUUUCUCUGUGUGUGUACCAUGUGAAUUAAUGUCUAUUUUAUGUUGCUCAAUUUACAGUAUCUUCUUGUUACCUCAUUUUCUUUCCUAAUGAUAGAUUCAAAGUAACUGCUUAUGAUUAUGUUACAAUGGAAUUAGCUGUAAUUCACUAUUUUUUGGUAUACUUUAUUCAUUUGGAGUUUAAUCGAAUGGGCUGUAAGGCAAGUUUGUGAAUUUAAAUAGCAGUUGUCUCAUGAAAGCUGUUAUUACAAAAUGAAGAGCUCAGGUUGUGACCUGUACAUGAUUAGGCAUGGUGACAUAGACGUCCGUGUUACCCUCUACAGGUAACUCAACCAUGCAUCCUGGUGCUGAUGCUGAAGAUGAUGGUGACAGCAGUGUGGAUGUGGUCGUGGUGAUGAUAGUGCUGAUUGGUGAUGGUGGUAGCGAUGAUUGAAGAGAUAUGUAGUAGCUAUUGUUGUAUAUGAAAGGAAAAUUGUGAGACUUAGAUGUUGUUUUUAUUUUUUGCAUCUUUUAAAAUUAAUGUGUAUUGAUUUGUAAUAGCUAAAUCUUGGAAAGCACCCAAUGCUCAUCAAACAAAAAAAAUGUAAAAAAAAGAUGUGGUCUGUUUAUACAGUGGACUACUACUAGACCACACAGAAGGAUAAAUUUAAGACAUUUAUAGGUAAAUGGAUGUAACCAGAGACCAGUCAAAUAAAUUAGACUCACAUGUCUAAAUAUUGUAUUGUCUCCCUGGUUUGGGGAGCGGAAAGCAUAAAAUGAUAUUGUGAAAUGUGAAGAAAUUGUUCAAAAGAAUAGUAAACUAGGAUGGGAAAAAGGAGAUAGGAGGGAAAGGAAAAGAAGAAAGCAAAAAUAAAGUACAAAAUAGUUAUGCUGGUAGUUUCUCUUAGUUCACUAAAAAGAAAGUUUUGUGCUAAUAUCGUUUGGAGAAUGUUUAUGCCCAUGCCUUGUACUCUGAUUAGUUACAUUAAAAUAAUAAUAUGUAAUGCACUAACCAUCAUUAUUCUCCUACUACUUUGCUAUGAAGUUGUAUUUUACUGUUUUCCGUACAAUAAAAAAUAAAGAAAAAUAAAUUA